GACGAACGCUGGCGGCGUGCCUAAUACAUGCAAGUUGAGCGCUGAAGGUUGGUACUUGUACCGACUGGAUGAGCAGCGAACGGGUGAGUAACGCGUGGGGAAUCUGCCUUUGAGCGGGGGACAACAUUUGGAAACGAAUGCUAAUACCGCAUAAAAACUUUAAACACAAGUUUUAAGUUUGAAAGAUGCAAUUGCAUCACUCAAAGAUGAUCCCGCGUUGUAUUAGCUAGUUGGUGAGGUAAAGGCUCACCAAGGCGAUGAUACAUAGCCGACCUGAGAGGGUGAUCGGCCACAUUGGGACUGAGACACGGCCCAAACUCCUACGGGAUGCAGCAGUAGGGAAUCUUCGGCAAUGGACGAAAGUCUGACCGAGCAACGCCGCGUGAGGGAAGAAGGUUUUCGGAUCGUAAAACUCUGUUGGUAGAGAAGAACGUUGGUGAGAGUGGAAAGCUCAUCAAGUGACGGUAACUACCCAGAAAGGGACGGCUAACUACGUG
rnacentral:rRNA from 1 species